ensembl:lncRNA
UCCGAUACGUAAUGGGCUAAUAGUUUAUAAAUAGUUUUAGAGUGGAGCUGUUGGCGCAUGCGCUGUGGCGACGUCGCGUUCAGUGAGAGCAACAUUACCUGGUGGCUGUAUAUAAAUAUGAAUAUUGAACCGCGGUAUCGGAGAAAUCGUACAACUUUUGCAUCUGGUGUUUGUUCAACACAGUGAGCUUACUGGGCAAUGCCACAUGGACUACACAGAGUACAUAUAAAGUGGAGUGAAGUGGUGAAGGCUCUGGGUUAUGAAUCGGAAAGGUCGGAGGUUCAAGCCUCGGCGCUACCAAACCACCACUGUUGGGCCUCUGAGCGACGCCCUUAACCCUCUCUGCAGAGGUGCCUUACCCCUCUCCAAAUCGGCCGGACCCUGUGCUCUGACCCUGGGGUUAACGGUUGUGACUGAUCUAUGGCGUCUUACGUUGUUCACCUCAAAUAUCAACUCUUCCGGAAACUGUCUGCCUACACGAAGACUGUAACAGAAGCUUUUCGAGAGGCUUUCAUAUACCACUCCGUGCUGGGAGUCAUAUAACUUAUUUAAGGCAGGUCAGGAGCAGCUGAGCGCAGAAUUAUUUCACAUUGUAAGCACUGAAGCAGCAGACCAUCAGCAUCACAAACCAGUGUAACCAAUGGGCUUUGAAAAGACCUGCAUGAGCGGAAUAAUAAGUGUUCAUACUGCAUUUUUCAUUACCCAUCACGCCGGUGUGCUAUACACAAAGUUAAUGUAGAUGGAUAGAAUUUUGUAUGUGUGUAUAAUGUAUAUGGUGAAUUUCAAACAACAUCUGGAGAGCCGUUUGUGCCGGAAUGGUGUACGUCUAAUCGUGCAUAAAAUACAAAACCAGCAGGUCUUUUUUGAAAUGAUAUUUAUUAAUUAACUUUUAUAGCUUUCUUUUCUGUUCGAUUGGGUCGGUGACAUCACAUGGGUUUAAUCCGAGCCUUCAAAACUCAAAGACUAGUUUAAUUAAGAUAAUGUGCUCUGUUCAUGAACAUUUCAGGAAUAAAAAGCUCCAAUAAAUAGCCAAAAUAAUGUUCAAGCAGGUUGAAAAAUGUUUGAGAACCCAAGCUUUAAAAUUUUUAGAUUAAAUUCUUUUCUUUUUUUUUUCUUUUUCUUUUUUUUUUUUUUUAAAGUUUGUCUUGGAACUGAAAUUUGAUUUGAGUUAGAGCACCAGUAAUACGUUUAUGACACGGUACUUCAAUAAAACUAUUUUAAAAAUCGAUAAACACUUGGGGAAGUCUGCAGCAGCUCAUGUUCAGUAUCAAAGUGUGUGUGUGUGUGAGAGGAGAGUGAGAGAGAGUUCUUUGACUUUCUCACAUUGAAGCAAAUACUGAAACUAAAUCAUUUGUACAGAAUGUUUAGGCAGAACGCUACAGUUUGAUAAAUAGUCAAACAUUGUUAAAUAUGGUGCAAAAUGUGACUAUUUUUCUGUAUAUACAGAAUAAACAGAUGCUCAAAGUCUAAGACUAAUUGUUUGUGUGUGUGUGUGUGUGUGUGUGUGUGUGUGUGUGUGUGUGUGUUCUCAGUCUAUAUGGGGCUGUUUUUGCUCAUGCUGGUCAUUUUAAUACAUCUCGUGUGGCCAUUGUUUGACUUCCUGCAGUUCUCCACUGAAUGCCCUCAUUUGGGAUGACACUGUAAAUAUCCUCGAGCCACGAGCUCCAUCUGCAACCAAGCACACAUAGCUGUGUCAAGGACAGCAACAGCAAAGAAGAUAAUGGUGUAGCUCAUAAACAGAUCAUCAACUUGUGAGAUUUUGGGUGGAGGGAUGGACAGAUGGACGUGUGGAUGGACAACAGCUUUACUAUUGGACUGUUACACCGCUCUGGCACUGGAGACUCCUUCCAAAAAUGCUCAAUAAAUGGAAAUGUCACAGAAAGCUUCACCAUAUCAACAAUUACACACAUUUAUGUGGAACGUCUGCAAUACCAGUCCCUGUAUAUGUUUUUACUGUUCAGUAUUAUAUAACAUAUUUGAAUGAGAGCAUUAAUUACGAUGUAUAAAUAAACUACACAGAUGGGUCAUUUUUUUUUGUUUGUUUUUUUUUAAUGGAAAAUCAGUCAGCACCUUCUGACCAAUUAGCAUCCAGAAUGCAACAGUGCUAUGCUGUGGUAUAAAAUUAGAAUAAGCAAACAGACAUUCUGUAACAGGGAUGCAGGGAGCAUUAGCUCAACAAUACACUUACAGCCCCCUCCGCUAAUAUUGGCACCCUUGGUAAAUAUGAGCAAAGAAGGCUGUGAAAAAUUGUCUUUAUUGUUUAUCCUUCUUGUUAAAAUAAUUCACAAAAAUACUCUGCUCUCAUGGAUAGCAAACAAUUCCAAACACAUGUUUAUCCAAAGAAAAAAAAAUCUUUGUUAAAUAUAGGUAAAGGCCAUUUUUCACAGCCUUCUUGCUCAUAUUUACCCAGGGUGCGGAUAUUCGUGGAGGGCAGUAAUAAUAGAGUUGCCAUGUAAUAUGGAGCUGAAUCGCUGAUUGCCUGUGGUUCCUGUUCAGGUGUGACCUAUAGUGACCUACAUAAAUAUAAGACUGAAUCAGAAACCAAACAAAAUGGCUUCCAACUCAAAGGUCAUGGAGGUGCACGGUGAGCUGUGUGGUGUGAAGCUGGGUGAUUACCAGCUGACUGAGUAAAAUUAAUUCCCAUUAUGCGAUUAUAAAGAAAUCCUCCGAAUGAAUCUGUGCUCAUGCAGAAAUGAAUGCCUGGUGAUAAUGCUGAAAGAUUCAUCCAGUGCGAGAAUGACUCCAUAUGUCACCUUGAGGACCAUCCAGGGUCCAUUAUAUGAUAAUUGGGUCACUUGUCUUCCUGCUGAAUCCUUUUUCUUUUUUUCUUUUCUUUUCUUUUUAUAAAGUUUUCCCAAUCAUUGGUCUAGAACAUGGCUGAGUGUCACGUAUAGCCUGGCAGCUACAGUAUAGUGACUGCAGCACUUCUCAUAUUACUGACUGUUAUUUUCUAUUUGAAUAAAAUUUGUCAUUCAAACAGUUGUGUAGGACUUUGAAGACUAUCUCUUUUUUUUUGUUUUAACUUCAGACAUAUGAUCCGUUAAACGCUACUUUAUUUAACAAGUCCA